UACGUAGGGACCAAGCGUUGUUCGGAUUUACUGGGCGUAAAGGGCGCGUAGGCGGCAAUUCAAGUCAUCUGUGAAAUCUCCGGGCUUAACCCGGAACGGUCAGAUGAUACUGCUUUGCUAGAGUGCGGAAGGGGCAAUCGGAAUUCUUGGUGUAGCGGUGAAAUGCGUAGAUAUCAAGAGGAACACCUGAGGUGAAGACGGGUUGCUGGGCCGACACUGACGCUGAUAGCGCGAAAAGCCAGGAGAGCAAACGGGG
rnacentral:rRNA from 1 species